AAUGUAGCCUUUUCCAUGUAAAUUACCAUUUUCAAACUUUGUAAAGAUACAUGGAGUCCCGCCAUUUGCGGACUACCAUUCUAUUAAAUAAAGUUGAACUUUUAUCCAAUUAUUUUGUAUUUUUAUUUGUUUUUGUUUUAAAAUUGAAUUUUUAUGAUGAUAAUUUUGAAAUAAAUAAAUCAAUGAACAAUGUUUUUUCUUAAAAUAAUAAGGCAUUU
rnacentral:lncRNA from 1 species